rnacentral:misc_RNA from 1 species
GAUGAAGAACGCAGCGAAAUGCGAUAAGUAAUGUGAAUUGCAGAAUUCAGUGAAUCAUCGAAUCUUUGAACGCACAUUGCGCCCGCCAGUAUUCUGGCGGGCAUGCCUGUUCGAGCGUCAUUACACCCCUCAGGCCCCCGGGCCUGGCGUUGGGGAUCGGCGGAAGCCCCCUGCGGGCACAACGCCGUCCCCCAAAUACAGUGGCGGUCCCGCCGCAGCUUCCAUUGCGUAGUAGCUAACACCUCGCAACUGGAGAGCGGCGCGGCCACGCCGUAAAACACCCAACUUCUGAAUGUUGACCUCGAAUCAGGUAGGAAUACCCGCUGAACUUAAGCAUAUCAAUAAGCGGAGGA